rnacentral:rRNA from 1 species
GACGAACGCUGGCGGCGUGCUUAACUCAUGCAAGUCGAACGCUGAAGCUUGGUGCUUGCUCUGGGUGGAUGAGUGGUGAACGGGUGAGUAAUACGUGAGUAACCUGCCCUUGAUUCUGGGAUAAGCCUGGGACACUGGGUCUAAUACUGGAUACGACAUGUCACCGCAUGGUGGUGUGUGGAAAGGGUUUUACUGGUUUUGGAUGGGCUCACGGCCUAUCAGCUUGUUGGUGGGGUAAUGGCUCACCAAGGCGACGACGGGUAGCCGGCCUGAGAGGGUGACCGGCCACACUGGGACUGAGACACAGCCCAGACUACUACGGGAGGCAGCAGUGGGGAAUAUUGCACAAUGGGCGGAAGCCUGAUGCAGCGACGCCGCGUGAGGGAUGACGGCCUUCGGGUUGUAAACCUCUUUCAGCACGGAAGAAGCGAAAGUGACGGUACGUGCAGAAGAAGCGCCGGCUAGCUACGUA